rnacentral:rRNA from 1 species
CAACCGUUGGAAACGACGGCUAAUCCCCAAUAAGCCGAAAGGUGAAAGGGUUUCCGCUCGCAGAGGAGCUCGCGUCCGAUUAGUUAGUUGGUGGGGUAAGAGCCUACCAAGGCAGCGAUCGGUAGCUGGUCUGAGAGGAUGAGCAGCCACACUGGGACUGAGACACGGCCCAGACUCCUACGGGAGGCAGCAGUGGGGAAUUUUCCGCAAUGGGCGCAAGCCUGACGGAGCAACGCCGCGUGUGGGAAGAAGGCUCUUGGGCUGUCAACCACUUUUCUCAGGGAAGAAGUCCUGACGGUACCUGAGGAAUCAGCCUCGGCUAACUCCGUGCCAGCAGCCGCGGUAAUACGGAGGAGGCAAGCGUUAUCCGGAAUUAUUGGGCGUAAAGCGUCCGCAGGGGGCACUUCAAGUCUGCUGUCAAAGGUCGGAGCUUAACUCCGGUUCGGCAGUGGAAACUGGAGUGCUAGAGGGCGACAGGGGUAGAGGGAAUUCCCAGUGUAGCGGUGAAAUGCGUAGAGAUUGGGAAGAACACCGGUGGCGAAAGCGCUCUACUGGGUCGCACCUGA